UUAAAUCUCAUGCUUUGUUGAUAAUUGCCUUUGAAAGCAUGGUUUUAUUUGAAGUUCAUUAUCUUAUGAAGCCAUCUUUUGGAUCCACCGAUAGAAUCAUUGAUGGGUUAUUUUCCAGUACCAUUGGACUCAUCUCUUCAUGUCCUGAGGAUGUCAUUUUUUUUUAGUUCCAUCAGUUGAAUUGUAUUAUUUUCAUUGACAAACUAGUUUUUCAUUUCUAAGGUUAUUGCUUAAUUGAUUCCUUUCAGAUCAAGGGAAAGGAUUCCAUAAAGAUCUUAUAAAGCUGAUCUCAGAUGCUGUGAACAUCCCUGUGAUCGCUAGUAGUGGUGCAGGAGCAGUUUGAACACUUCUCGGAGGUUUUCACUAAAACAAAUGCAUCUGCUGCUCUUGCUGUUGGCAUUUUCAAUCGGAAGGAGCUAUUGAAUUAGGCUGCCCACUGAGAAGGAGCAGGAAAUGGUUGUUUCAAAGGUUGUUAAGAAAAUGCGGUACUAUGAAUCCACCCUCCUAUCUACAUACAAGGGAUACUUGCAGAGGUUGAUAGCCUUAGAACAGCAGGCCUCAUUUUGAGCGUGUGGCUAUUCGUUGUAUCUGUACUUUGCUAGAUUCAGUUCCCCACUUCAACUAUCGUGAGAGCUUGUUAGCUGCUGUUAUUAAGAACAUAAGUUCUGCGGAUGAUGUUGUAAGGU